CUGAAGGAGGAGCUUGCUUCUCUGGAUGAGUUGCGAACGGGUGAGUAACGCGUAGGUAACCUGCCUGGUAGCGGGGGAUAACUAUUGGAAACGAUAGCUAACACCGCAUAAUAGUAGAUGUUGCAUGACAUUUGCUUAAAAGGUGCAAUUGCAUCACUACCAGAUGGACCUGCGUUGUAUUAGCUAGUUGGUGAGGUAACAGCUCACCAAGGCGACGAUACAUAGCCGACCUGAGAGGGUGAUCGGCCACACUGGGACUGAGACACGGCCCAGACUCCUACGGGAGGCAGCAGUAGGGAAUCUUCGGCAAUGGACGGAAGUCUGACCGAGCAACGCCGCGUGAGUGAAGAAGGUUUUCGGAUCGUAAAGCUCUGUUGUAAGAGAAGAACGAGUGUGAGAGUGGAAAGUUCACACUGUGACGGUAUCUUACCAGAAAGGGACGGCUAACUACGUGCCAGCAGCCGCGGUAAUACGUAGGUCCCGAGCGUUGUCCGGAUUUAUUGGGCGUAAAGCGAGCGCAGGCGGUUAGAUAAGUCUGAAGUUAAAGGCUGUGGCUUAACCAUAGUACGCUUUGGAAACUGUUUAACUUGAGUGCAAGAGGGGAGAGUGGAAUUCCAUGUGUAGCGGUGAAAUGCGUAGAUAUAUGGAGGAACACCGGUGGCGA
rnacentral:rRNA from 1 species